ACGGGUGAGUAACGCGUGGGAAUCUACCGUACCCUACGGAAUAGCUCUGGGAAACUGGAAGUAAUACCGUAUACGCCCUAACGGGGAAAGAUUUAUCGGGGUAUGAUGAGCCCGCGUUGGAUUAGCUAGUUGGUGGGGUAAAGGCCUACCAAGGCGACGAUCCAUAGCUGGUCUGAGAGGAUGAUCAGCCACAUUGGGACUGAGACACGGCCCAAACUCCUACGGGAGGCAGCAGUGGGGAAUAUUGGACAAUGGGCGCAAGCCUGAUCCAGCCAUGCCGCGUGAGUGAUGAAGGUCUUAGGAUUGUAAAGCUCUUUCAACGGUGAAGAUAAUGACGGUAACCGUAGAAGAAGCCCCGGCUAACUUCGUGCCAGCAGCCGCGGUAAUACGAGGGGGGCUAGCGUUGUUCGGAAUUACUGGGCGUAAAGCGCACGUAGGCGGGUAUUUAAGUCAGGGGUGAAAUCCCGCAGCUCAACUGCGGAACUGCCUUUGAUACUGGGUAUCUUGAGUAUGGAAGAGGUAAGUGGAAUUGCGAGUGUAGAGGUGAAAUUCGUAGA
rnacentral:rRNA from 1 species